rnacentral:lncRNA from 1 species
UGUAAGCUAUGUUAGCUAUGAAGUUUCUUCCUUUUCUGUUUUUCAUACCAACUUAAACCUCUGACAAUGUCAGUCUGGAUGCUAAGGGGAAUGGAAAUUGGACUUACACUGAAAGUACAGAACGGCAUGUGUCAAAACCUCAGAAAGUGCAUGCAGGUUCCCUUGCCAUUAUGCCUUCAAAAGAAGUUUUGGAGUUGGGACUGAAUUUCUCUAGUUAUAAUGAGCUGCUCCCAAGGAAGAUUUCUGGAUCAGUUUCAAAUGGAGCACUCCCAAAGGAAUUACCUAUGAAGGAAACUGGAAACUCUGUGAUGUCUCUCUGGCGUCUUUCCCUCCAGCUGGUGCCUCUGAACCUCUUCUGAAGGGGCCUGUGCAGAGCAGAGCUUGGCAACAAGAAAUUUUCACGGGUCCAGACAAUGAACAUACUAUCAAUAAGUCAGAGGCAGAAAUACUAUCACUAAAACCAUGGAAGAAGUCCUGGAAUCUCGCUGAGGUGCACAGAUACGGAUUGCAGCGUACAUUGCUCUUCUACGGGCCGACGAGAUUUUGUGGUGGCUUUUGUUUUCAGAUUCGAGUGCCGAGGGCUCAACAGGUGGUGCGGGGAUAAAGUUCUGGCAAAUCAAAUAGGUAAUGCGGUUAUUUCUUUUGUCAAAUUGUAAUUAAAAACAGGGACAAGUAAAAUGAAACUCACAUUUUGCUGGUGCAAAACGGGGUUUAGAAUUAAAUUCAAAUCGGUUUCCAUGACAAAUAUACAUUACUACUGGAGCUUGGUCUGUAAAUAAACAUGCGACACCUUAGUUUUGAUGUAGAAAG